rnacentral:rRNA from 1 species
UACGGGGGGGGCAAGCGUUGUUCGGAAUUACUGGGCGUAAAGCGUGCGCAGGCGGUUUUGUAAGCCAGAUGUGAAAGCCCCGGGCUCAACCUGGGAAUGGCAUUUGGGACUGCAAGGCUGGAGUUUGGCAGAGGAGACUGGAAUUCCUGGUGUAGCAGUGAAAUGCGUAGAUAUCAGGAGGAAUACCGAUGGCGAAGGCAGGUCUCUGGGCCACUACUGACGCUGAGAAGCGAAAGCGUGGGGAGCGAACAGG